GAUGAACGCUAGCUACAGGCUUAACACAUGCAAGUCGAGGGACCGGCGCACGGGUGAGUAACACGUAUCCAACCUGCCCUUUACUCGGGGAUAGCCUUUCGAAAGACAGAUUAAUACCCGAUAUAAAGGAUGGGGAUGAGUUCCAUUAGGUUUUUGGUGAGGUAACGUCUCACCAAGCAUUCGAGGGAUAGGGGUUAGGAGAGGAAGGGCCCCCACACUGGAACUGGGACACGGGUCAAACUCCUACGAGAGGCAGCAGUGAGGAAUAUUGGUCAAUGGGCGCUAGCCUGAACCAGCCAAGUAGCGGGAAGGAUGAAGGCUUAUGGGUCGUAAACUUCUUUUAUAUAAGAAUAUGUAUUAUAUGAAUAAGGAUCGGCUAACUCCGUGCCAGCAGCCGCGGUAAUUC
rnacentral:rRNA from 1 species